ensembl:lncRNA
AUGACUGUCAGUUCUGAUGUGUAUGUCUGUUAUUAUUUUCACUGCAGAAUCACAAUCAUGAAUGCUGUAAAUGCUGUGCAGCUGUUCAUUCUGGUUUGGACCUUUACUGCUGUCUGUCAAGCUGAUGAACAUGUCAUAGUAAGCUGUCAGAAUGUGACUGGAUUUGUGGGGAAAGAAGUAAAUCUCACCUGCAGCGUCUCUCUGCAGCUCCCUCGAUGCUGCAUUAUAAAGUAUAAGUUUCAAUACCCUGAGAUCUUUAAUGACUCUGCAGUCUGUCGUCAAGAUGUUCCUGUGAACUCCUGUGAACAGAGAAACAGUUUCACAUGCAGCUACACUCCAACUAAAGCGAUGACAGAACAAUUCAGAUUCUUUGUGCAAACACAUUGUGGAGUGGGAAAAGCUGAAAUCUUCACUCUUGACGCAGGUACUUCAUACUGUAACAUUUUUGCUUCUAAUUUAGUAUAUCUUUGUAAAUGUACAUUUAUGUUCAAUCUACUAACAGUGGUUUAAAACCUGUUAACAAAGACCAUUAAACCUGAAAAUAAUAGUAAAACUCUUGGUAAGAAAGCUAUUAUAUAUUUAAUACAAUUAUACAUUAUUUCUUCAGUUUCCUCAGGACAUGUGAACCCAGAAAACCCAUCAGGAACCUCUCCACCAGAGACAGCAGCAGGAUUCAAGGGUACUGUCAUCACUGUGGUUGUGGUUGGUUUCAGCAUCAUCCUCAUCAUCAUGAUGGCGAUCAUUUGCAAAACAAAACCAAACUUCACCAAACUUUGCAGAGGCCAGAACUGGAUGUUACUGAGAGUGCGACAUGAUGAGGACAACGAUCUUCCAGGAAUUGAGAUAUUAUAGCAUUGAGUUUUGUUCAUUGUGACUUCUCAUGUGGUGCUCAUGAAACACAAGCUUUAUUUGAACUCCAUUAAACUCUACACUAUCUUAUAUCUCAGACUACUGAAUAUAUAUCUCUGACUGUAGGUUUUAAAACUCUUGUUUCUAUUUUAUAUUGAUUUCUGUGAAAUAACAGCAUAUUAUUGAUCUGUUUGAUCAGAGUAUAUGACUUUAAUGAACUCAAACCUUAACUUUAAAAGGAAACAGUGAAACUCAAACUGUCUUUUUUUCUGACUUUCAAGGAAUGUCUAACAUGAAUGCCAUUUUUAUAUAUUGUUUAAUAGUGUGUAUGAUGAGGUUUUGUAGAGUAUCUUAUUUUUUAAAAAAGGACAUUGAAAUGAAUAAAGACUUGUGAUACUCUCUAAAGAUGAAUGUC